rnacentral:rRNA from 1 species
UACGUAGGGCGCAAGCGUUGUCCGGAAUUAUUGGGCGUAAAGAGCUCGUAGGCGGCUUGUCGCGUCGGCUGUGAAAACCUGGGCUCAACCCGGCCUGCAGCCGAUACGGCAAGCUAGAAUUCGGUAGGGAGACUGGAAUUCCUGGUGUAGCGGUGAAAUGCGCAGAUAUCAGGAGGAACACCGGUGGCGAAGGCGGGUCUCUGGGCCGAUACUGACGCUGAGGAGCGAAAGCGUGGGGAGCGAACAGG